UACGGAGGGGGCUAGCGUUGUUCGGAAUUACUGGGCGUAAAGCGCACGUAGGCGGAUUGGAAAGUUGGGGGUGAAAUCCCGGGGCUCAACCCCGGAACUGCCUUCAAAACUCCCAGUCUGGAGGUCGAGAGAGGUGAGUGGAAUUCCGAGUGUAGAGGUGAAAUUCGUAGAUAUUCGGAGGAACACCAGUGGCGAAGGCGGCUCACUGGCUCGAUACUGACGCUGAGGCGCGAAAGCGUGGGGAGCAAACAGG
rnacentral:rRNA from 1 species